UAGAUAUAAAUUCCAGUGAUCACCAUUACGUACCAGAGAAAAACAGUAGGUUCACUUACCAGUUAGGGAAAAAAAAUGAAGAACAAGAAAUGGACAACUCACUGAAUCUAAAUAAGAGUUUACCAUGAUGACAUAUCAUCUGAAUAUGCAGUAAACUACGCAGAACAUCUUCUAAUUCUCUUGUUAGAUCUCCCACUUUCAUAAGGCUUGCUGCCAGUGAAGCAGUCAUCAUCACGGCCUCUCUUAUUGUUUGUAUCUUCCCUCGUUAGCACCCAACAAUCUUCGCUUACUGCUGUAAAAUUCUUGUCAGCAGUUUUAACCUGACUUUCAUUUGUUUCCUCACUGUAGAGUAGAUGGACGCCACAUUUCUUCAUGUUGAUGAGCUUGUUUGAAUGGUCUGAAGCAAGGAAUUCGAACGAAGCCUGAUAAUAUUUAUUAAACCCAUUAUCCCCUUUGGCUGACUCAGUUUCCCAGGAGUUAAACCAUAGGAAAAUAUUAUCUGAAUUGAGGAUCUCUUCAUUUCCUGCCCAAUAAUGGGAUGUGAAAAAGCGAUCGUCAGAUUCACCCUUCACAGCUUUCAAAUGACACUUGCAACAAACAUUUCUGACCGCAGAGGGGAUUUCACAGCUAAUAACAACACAAAAAGAAAUUCCCAGGAGUGGACGACCAUUUGAUGACAACAUUAAUGUUAAUGAUGAUCCUGUAUCUUUCUUACAGAACCAUUCGGGAAUUUCACCCCCUGGAUAGCGGAAUUGACUCCGAUAGCGCUUAUUGUCAUCGUCUUGCUUUGAGGCUGUUGCCAUAUGCAGAAUGCUCCCUUGAGCAUCUUCCACUAUGUUGUUGGUUUCCGUUUGAUUUAAUGUGAAGCAAUUAGCAAAAUCCCAACACUCAAUGUUUGGCUCCCACAAACUUUUUAUGCGUGGUACAAUUUCUAAUGAUGUGCAGUGGCAUGCCUUCAGAACUUUUAUGCAUGGGGGAAUCUCCAGCAAGUACAUAAGCCUCUCGCAAUGGCUUAGGUUCAGAAGUUUCAGUUUUGAUAGAAUUUUGAAGGUUGCAGGUAGGCUCUGAAAAUUAUUUUUGCUGAGAUCUAAAUCCUCCAAUGAGGAUAAAUCACUCAGGUUGCUAGGGUAUUCUGACAGAUCACAGCUGCUUAAAUCUAGGCUUUGUAGACAAGGGAGAGAUUUCAAGUUAUGGAAACCCUCAAGUUCUGAGCAGCCAGAGAGAGAAAGUUUUCUAAGGCAUCCCAACUUGCAAAUGCCAUUCGGGAAACUUUUAAGCCUUUUGCAGUUCGACAGAUUUAAUGCAGAAAGUCUUGAGAGAGUGCAAAUCGCUGAGGGCACUUCUUCAAUUGCAGUAUUACUCAAGUCUAAACAUUCCACAUUUUGAGGGAUCUCUGGAAUCUUUGUGAUAUUUAAGCAUCCAGAGAGAAACAUAUCGCUAAGAGAUGUUAACUUAGCAAUGCUGCUUGGAAGUUUCUUGAGCCUUGUGCAGUUUUUUAGGGAUAAAUUAGCUAGAGUAGGAAGAGAUCCAAUAGACUGAGGGAGUUCUUCUAUUGCUGUACCACUAAAGCUGAGACAUUCAACAUCUCCCGAGAUCUCAGGAAAUUCACUAAGGCUUGAACAGCUAGUGAGAAUAAGAGCCUUGAGAGAUUUCAGAUUAAUCCCACCGGAGAGACUUCUUAGAUUUUUGCAAUCACUCAGAUCUAGGGAGACAAGCUUGUUAAGACAUUGAACAGAAGAGGAAACCUCAACCAAAUUUUGGCAGGUCACAAGCUCCAAUCUCUCAAGAUUUUGGGCCUUCGAUAAAUCUGGGAUUCUAGUCAGAUACCUGGAGUAACUCAGGUCAAUCCGUUUUAAAUUCACAAGGUCCUGGGUGGAGAUACAAAUGAUGACACAUCAGCUAGUAUUGGAACUUUCUGAAGAUGAAAAAUGGGGCAAAAGAAAAAAAAAAGAGUUGUAUAUAGGCACAGAGCAUACCUGUACUCCAGUCCAGAGUUGUUCUACAUUGCUAGCAACCAAGCGAAGCUCCACAAGCUUUUCAGCAUGAAAGCUAGAUGGAAGAGAUUUUGAAGGAAAACAUUCCCAAUGGAGGAGUCUUAGCUUACUAGAAAGAGAACGGAGACCUUCAUCAGGUAGGUGCACUGUACUUAUAGGCUUAGCACUAGUACUAUAGAAUUUGAGCAAUCUAAGACUAUGCAUCUUUGCAAAGGUUUCAGAACUCAAGUGCAUCUCUCUUAUUUUAGACAUAUUAAGA
rnacentral:misc_RNA from 1 species